rnacentral:lncRNA from 1 species
UAUUGAUAUGGGGACGUACAGUAAUGACAUGAACUGGUGAGUAAUUCCUUGAUUUUGCAAUACCACCUAGGGAUAGGGGUAGGACGAUCAAUUGCUUUUAACUUCCGUUUAUAAUGUUGUAUUAAUUGCUAGGGGAGGCUAGGGAUAGCAAACCAGUAAUUAAUAUUAGGCUCUUUUCGCCGAGGGAUCGGGUUAAGGGUAGGCUAAGAAAGUUGCAUAACAAAUAAUUAAUCAAACUAAUAUUCAAGAGGAGUAGAUAAGAGACGGCGGAUUAGAUGAAAUUGUAAACCCCCAGCAACAUCCAUUCAUCCAUUGUUUUCUUUUGUCAAUUGAAUCAACUUUAUUUUGCUUGUUAAUAUUUUUGUUCUCAAAUCCAAUUUGUUAAUUUUUAUUUUCAAGUCUUACUAUUUUAAUUCACGUGAACGAGAAAGUCUUUCGAGUCUCUUGGGAAAACGAUACUUGGUCUUACCAUUUAUAUUACUUGUACGAUUUGGUACGCUUGCCAAUCCGUCAACAGCCAUCUCCCUAAAAGUCCUCUCACGAGGUGGAGGAGGUUGUGCCAUAUUGUUCUCAGUGUGAAAAAUAACAGAAUCAGAAUCAGAAUCAGGUGCAGAUGCAACAUAUGCAGUAGAUGCAGUAUGCACAAAGUACUCAACAGUGGAUUCAGAUUCAGCAGUAGGAUAAACAAUAUCUAAUGGAACAGACUCAAAAACAGACUCUAAAGA